UACGUAGGGGGCAAGCGUUGUCCGGAUUCACUGGGUGUAAAGGGCGCGUAGGCGGGAUAGCAAGUCAGUGGUGAAAUCUUGCAGCUCAACUGCAAAACUGCCAUUGAUACUGCUGUUCUUGAAUGUGGAAGAGAGAGGCGGAAUUCCAGGUGUAGUAGUGAAAUACGUAGAUAUCUGGAAGAACACCAAUUGCGAAGGCUGCUUCUUGGUCCAUUAUUGACGCUGAGGCGCGAAAGCGUGGGGAGCAAACAGGAUUAGAUACCCUGGUAGUCCACGCUGUAAACGAUGAGUGCUAGAUGCCGGAUUUUUUCGGUGUCGCAGCUAACGCAUUAAGCACUCCACCUGGGAAGUACGAUCGCAAGGUUGAA
rnacentral:rRNA from 1 species